UACGUAGGGUACGAGCGUCGUCCGGAAUUAUUGGGCGUAAAGAGCUCGUAGGUGGUUGGUCACGUCUGCUGUGGAAACGCAACGCUUAACGUUGCGCGUGCGGUGGGUACGGGCAGGCUAGAGUGUGGUAGGGGAGACUGGAACUCCUGGUGUAGCGGUGAAAUGCGCAGAUAUCAAGAGGAACACCGAUGGCGAAGGCAGGUCUCUGGGCAGUUACUGACGCUGAGGAGCGAAAGCAUGGGUAGCGAACAGG
rnacentral:rRNA from 1 species